rnacentral:tRNA from 1 species
AGAAAAAUAAGCUAAUUUAAGCUAAUGGGUUCAUACCUCAUAAAUGGAAUCAUUCCUUUUUCUA